UACAGAGGUCCCGAGCGUUGUUCGGAUUCACUGGGCGUAAAGGGUGCGUAGGUGGCGAGGUAAGUCGGAUGUGAAAGCUCGGAGCUCAACUCCGAAAUGGCAUUGGAAACUACCUUGCUCGAGGGUUGGAGGGGGGACUGGAAUACUUGGUGUAGCAGUGAAAUGCGUAGAUAUCAAGUGGAACACCAGUGGCGAAGGCGAGUCCCUGGACAACUCCUGACACUGAAGCACGAAAGCGUGGGGAGCAAACAGG
rnacentral:rRNA from 1 species